UGGCAUAUUGUUGCUAUUUAACUUAAAAUGCACAGCAUAGCUACAGUAUGGAAGAUUAUUAGAAAUAACUGAGUAAGUAGGCUGUCAUUCUAAGAAAGACAGUUUCAAAUUAAGAGAAUUAUCUUUGGAAUACAUAUGUGUCUUAGCCCUGACUACAUCAAGCUGUUAAUCAUAUUGGCUGGACCCCCCACACUUUGCAUAUGCAUCACACUGCUGCUUUACACACUGUUUGUGGUUCAGUUGUUUUAUUCCACCUUAAUCAGUAUAAAUUUAAUAAUUAGGAUGUUACCAGGGAAGUCAGAAAGGGAAGAUUAAGAUUUCUAGAAAUGUUUAGGUGAGCAUUUCAAAGAGAACAGUAUCUAAAAUAUUUGUUUCUCUCUUUUUUUUUUUUUUUCCAAAUGAAAUGGAGUGGACGCAAAGCCAAGAAAAUAAAUUCCCUUGAGGAGGAAUCAGACACAUAGUUGAACAAACCUGUUAACAUCUUUAAGGUGUUGGGCCCAUACUCCAAUUAUCCAGACUAAGAGACUUCACAUUUGAUCUGAAAAUGUUCAACUCUGCAGACAUGGUCUUUUCACUGGAUAAUUUAUUUUAUGAAAAACCAGAUAUGAGACAAAGGUGUCUGGAAAAUGAAGAUCAUAAGACUUGGUUUAUUGCACCUGCUCCAGCUAUUGCUGAAAUUCCAGCUGCAGAGGAAUUACAGAGGGAACUGGAAAAAAACUCAGCCAACACUCCCAUGGGUAGAGUAUCAUAGAAUAGAAUCACAGAAUCAUUGCAGCGGUUGGAAAAGACAUUUAGAAUGAUCAAGUCCACCCCUAAACCUAACAUUGCAAAGUUCAACUAAUGUUGGGCAAUAUCAGGUGUUACUUGACAUUGAUUUUAAAUUACUCAACAAAUAAUUAGUGUGACAGAUCAUUCCUCUUUUGCUGUGAAAAAUGAAAUAUUCUAGGUAUGCAAGUAGAGACAAUGUAUUUGAGUUGAGAAUGAUGGUGUUAGAUGUGCCAGGAGCAUAGCAGUCCUCUUUAGGCAUAUACAUGCCACAAGUUUACUGUGCAGAAAUGUACAAGGUGAGAAGUAUAAUCAAAAUUUCAGUUACUGCACAUUGUUUCAUGAAGCAUUGUAACGCAGUGGGAAGUGCUGUAAGAGCAUAACGUUGUCAUGUGGAUCUUAUGGCCUGUCUGCCACUCAAGGAGCAGAGAGUUUAUAUGAAACACACUUUUUUCUUCCCCCUUUUGGAGCUUUAAUCAAAUUGUUCAGGCGGCCAAAUUUGAAUUUGGUCAUUAAUUGCUGCUAAGUGGCGUAUUCCUAGACAUUCAGGAUUAUCUUAAUGAACUGUAUUUUAAACAAUGUCAUUGCUUUAUCUUUGUCAGCUAGAUUUGUGCAUUUCUUAGAUGUCGU
rnacentral:lncRNA from 1 species